GUCCUCUUGUGUAAUAAAUAUGAGAGGUCUGACCUGCCCAGUGACGCUUAUUGUUAAAUGGCCGCGGAAUUUUAACCGUGCUAAGGUAGCGCAAUAAAUUGCUCUUUAAUUGGGGGCUAGAAUGAAUGGUUCGACGAAAGCUAAUCUGUCUCUAGAAGAUCCUAUGAAAUUUAUUUUCUAAGUGAAAAAGCUUAAAUUUAAUUAAAAGACGAGAAGACCCUAAGAGUUUCAAAGCUGCAUCUUAAUAGAAAGCAUGUUUUAACAUGAUUAUUUUAUUAUGCUUAUAGCUCUUUAACUGGGGAAAGUGGAAGAACAAGCGAAAUUUCUUUCGUAGAAUAAUAUUUUUUAUUAUCAAAUUUGUCUGUCGGGUAAACGUUUGAUAUUUGAUCCAUUUUUGAAUGAGUAUGGGAAUUAAUUACCCUAGGGAUAACAGCGUAAUACUUUUUGAAGAGUACAUAUUGUAGAGAAGGAUUACGACCUCGAUGUUGGACUAAGGAUUUCUUAUGGGUGUAGAGGCUCUUAAAGUUAGUCUGUUCGACUAUUAAAAUCU
rnacentral:rRNA from 1 species